UAAAAAAUCCUCAUGGCAUCUCGGCCUGAAAUGAAAAUUGUCCAAGAAUAACAGGCAUGAUAACUCAACUAAGCUUACGAGUGAAACACCUGGAUGAGUUUAUAAAGAGACUGAACCCGAAACCGAUUACUUCUGUGAAAACAAUGCCAAAUAAAUAUGAAUUAUUGCUGCCUCAUCCGCCAUCUUUAUUUAAUAAGAUCCAGGAAGUAUGUGGUGCCCAGAGAAACAAGUAAAGUAUUGAAUGAGAAAAUUAGACGCCAAGUCAAAACAUCUUAAAUAUGCAAGAUGUUAUUACUAUUAUGAAGAACAAAGCUACAUGAAAAAACGGUUUGCAAGGCUUUCCUUUCUAAACCAAGUACCUAUUCUGAGAUAAUUAAAAAGUUGAACUACGC